rnacentral:rRNA from 1 species
GUCCACGCCGUAAACGAUGAAUGCUAGCCGUCGGUGAGCUUGCUCUUCGGUGGCGCAGCUAACGCAAUAAGCAUUCCGCCUGGGGAGUACGGUCGCAAGACUAAAACUCAAAGGAAUUGACGGGGGCCCGCACAAGCGGUGGAGCAUGUGGUUCAAUUCGACGCAACGCGAAGAACCUUACCAGGCCUUGACAUCCCGAUCGCGGCCCUUCGAAAGAGGGGCUUUCAGUUCGGCUGGAUCGGUGACAGGUGCUGCAUGGCUGUCGU